UCAGCAAUUGGAAAUCUGCCCAAUCUUGAGGUGCUCAAAUUACUCGGCCGAUCAUUUGAGGGGGAAAUAUGGGAAAUGGAAGUAGAAAAGUUCCCUAAAGUUAAGUUCCUGAAAUUAGAUUCCCUGGAUAUUGUGAAGUGGACAGCCUCUGAGUACGAGGACCAGGACUAUUUUCCUCGUCUCCAGAAGUUAGUGUUGGAAAGCUGUGAUGCAUUGCAGGAGAUCCCUUCUUGUUUGGGAAAUAGUUCAACUCUCGAAAUAAUUGAGGUGUCAAAAUGUCCCAACUGUACCAGUUCAUUGGAGGAAAUUCAGGAAGAGCAAAGAAGCAAUGGAUAUACAGAUCUGAUGAUCCUUAUCUCAUAAUGGACGAUUGAUCUUCUCAAGUAAGUUUGCUUUGGACAGCCAGUUUACUCUACAUUUGUUUUUUAAGUACUUUACUUAUGCACUGCUACGGGUUAUGUUUAUCUGUUUUGCAUCAAGAUCAAGUUGUUCUUUUUCUUAAUUGUUUUUCUUUUUCUUUUUCUUUUUCUUAAUUAGCAUUGGAAGACUGCAAGUUUUUGGAGGAGAUCCAUUCUCGUUUGGGAAUUGUUUCAACCCUUGAAUUCAGUCCCAACUCUACAAGUUCAGUAAUUCAAAUUCAGGAAGUGCAAAUAAGCGUGAGAUAUGCUGACCUGAAGAUCCUUAUCCUAUAAUGGAUGACUGAUCUUCUCAAGUUUGUUUGAUUUAGGCAGCCACUUUAAUCUACUUUUCUUUUCUUAAUCAAUCCUUUACUUCUGAACUGAAACUGGUUAUGUUGUAUCUGUCUAGCAUUAAGAUCAAGUUAUUCUUGCUUUCUUUGUAACUUUUCUUUAAUUCCUGUAGCAGAAAUUUGAUGUGGGAAAUAUCACUUCCCAAGUUUUUUUUUUAAGAUUUAAGUCAAUGAAGUUGCUGUUUCUUUUUUUCCUCAAAUAGUAUGUUUUGCAUUUUUUUUAAGCUAAUACUGCUUAGUAGUAGCAUCAUGUAAUCUGGCUUGGAAGUAAUGUUUUAGAGUCCAAUUGAUUCUUCUCCCCGUCUACGUACCCAAAUACUAAUGUGGAAGGUAAAUUUUUUAAAAGUCAUGCUCUGCUUGAGCAGUGAAUUGGUUGUAAGUACUUCUUUUGCCCAGGUUUUCUCUUUUUUUUUUUCUUUUUAAUUUUUAUAUAACAACACAUCUUUGCCAAAAAAAAAAACAUUUUAAAUCACAUGGGAUCCUUAGUAUCAACUUCUAUAUUUAUAUCAAGUGUUCCGUUAUUUAAGUUGUCAUAUCCUAUUUAUUUAAGUUUUCUUUACCAUCACGUGACAAGUGAGACUAGCACUGAAAUUUAGUAUUAGAUAGUAGUACAGGGGAUCCCAACUGAUUAUAAAUAGUUGGAUGACCAUUUUAGCCAUUUUAAAAUAAGUUUUGAUGCAAGCACACACCAGAACUGAUUGUUGUACAAUAUGAAGUAAGCCAAGUUUCUACCAAAAAAAAAAGGAAGCCAAGUUAAGAAAGUCUUUAUGUUUUUUUCUCUUUCUAACACCUCCCACCCUUCUUUACACUUUUUUCACUGCCAACUAUCAGGUUUAGAAUUUAAAUCUUGAACUUGGCAUUAAGGAGAACACAAGGCAAACAGAGUUAAUUGUACUAACUUCACUUGGCUUUAAAAAGAUUUUGAAACUUUUCAUAAAUUUAUUCGUUAUGCAUCUUUUGAAUUGUUCUAAAAUUGAUGUCUUAAAAAGUUUCUUUAUAGGUUUCAAAAUACAAAAGUAGGGAUGGCAACGGGGUGGAGUUGGAUCCCUCCACCCCUGCCCUGCUCCCUCGCAGAUACCUGCAGGUGAUAAUUUGCCCAAAACUUCAGCAUGAAAAGAACUUCACACUUCAGAGAUCAAGAAAACAAUAGCCACUAUUUGGUUUAAUAGUAUAAAUUAUCGGGAAGGAAACCAACAAGCUAAUUCAUCGAUCCUCAACUUCAUUAAACACAUUCACCAAAGUAUGACAUGUUAAUACACAGGAUACAUCAAUAAUUCUCAGGAUGUGAUAAUACAUUAUUGGACUUAUGCAAAAGGCAAAAAGUAAAGGUUAGUUCUUUGGACUUAUAUGAAGUGCUAUUGUACUACUAGUUAAAAUUCAUGAGUGUUACCAGAUUACUGCAUAGUGAAGGGUUCGCAUGAGUUUAAUUGAACCAGCUCUGUAUUGGCAGACUUGCGGCAGUUUCAUGGCGAAGAAGUGAAGGCAUUCUGCUCGGACAGAAACGAGAGGCGGAAACAAAAGAAAGAGGAAGUAGACAAAAUCGCAAGAGCAUUUUUUUCCCCCCCAAAAAAACUUAUUUUUCUUUAGUGGGCAGUGGGUGUUUAAUAUUUUAAACAAAAUUAGAAACUAAUAUGGCUCAUAAUUAAUCCAUAUAUAUAUAUAUAUAUAUAUAUAUAUUAUUCAUGUGUAUUAAUUAAUUUUAGUGGGCGGCAAGGUGCCCCACUACUUUUCUCACAAGGCGGGUACUUGCUUCCGUUGCCAUCCCUAUGUAAAAGGCCUCCCAAGGUAACAUUCAAGAAAAUGUAGAGAAAGAGGUGUAAUUGCAACACUUUUGAAGAGAUUUUAGCAUUAAUUUUUUUAUGCAUUGAUAGUAUACUGAUUUUUUUACCCUGGUAACUUUAUAUGUAUGCUACAUGUCCAUAAUUUGAAUUUCAAAUUAGAAUUUAUGUUACGUGACAUGAUUUAAUUUUGUCAGUGUAAAAAAAAAAUUAUACAUUAACAUUAUAUAAAAAAGUUAUCUUAAAUUUUUGGGCCACCCCAACUCAUACAGGAGUUUAAUCGCAAUUGGUGGGGGACCAGGAUUCUUCAACUGCACUUAUCCAAAGAUUGAUCAUCCUUACAAUUCGAAAAAUUUGUUAAAUGCCCUUUAAAUUGAAGACUUUGUAGCCGCAACUAUACAUUUCAGUGUUCAAAAAAUCUACUCAUAUUAUCUCUACCUCACCGCUGUAAACUUUUAUUGUAGGUCUACAAGCGAAAUAUAUUAUUACAUGGGGGAGUAGCUAAAAGUGACUUUAUUGGAUCCCAGAAAAAAAAAAAAAAAAAAAAAAAAAAGAGUUUAGGUGACCCAGAGAGGACAAUACAUUCUCUUAACGAUUUUCACGACUCUGUUGCAUUGAAAUUCAACAAAACUUACUUGCUAAACAACUUUGCAAGUGAUCUAACAAACAAUAAACAAAAAAUUGUGCAAAUAAUGAAUUUAUACCGGUAGUUUCAAAGAAAUUAGAUGGCAAAGAACUACUCCAAUACUUGUAAAAUGAUUCAAACUCCACAGAAUUCAAAAAACCAAUUCCAAACGCCUUUGCGCUAUCAGUAAAUAGUGAUGCAUUUUCCUCUGUUGACACCAUAAGGCCAUGUAGAAACUGGUGUUUUCAUUUCGGGAACUUCUAGCCUGGGAAAUUCUGCUGAGCAUGCUGAUGUUAAAAGUGGUCAGUGUUAAGAAAGUAUUUGCUCUGGAGUUCUUGAGCCUAGGAAUGUUGCAGCCCAGUGAUGAUGAAUUAGCAUCCUUACUGAACUUUGUGAGCAGUGCAUUAGAAUCUAGUAAGAAGUAUGCUUCAUCUUCUAUUAGCCAAGUUACUAUGCACAAUGAAGGCAUAACGUUUUCAGCUCAUCUUUAUAUUCUAUCAGCAGCCUUUUAAACUUUUUUGCAACCGAACAUCCAGUGGUUCUUGCCUACUUACUGAAUAUGUUCACAGGUUUCUUGCUAUCCAUGUUGUUGCUGCAACUACCAUAUACAAUGGCAUUUCUAUUUUUUCCUAUAGGAGUUGCUCUGACUACCUGGUUUGGCUUGGCCGUUCUCAUUGAUCCGCCUAUGCAAGAAGCAAGAGGCCUAAAAAACUGGUUGCUUAUUACCAUGUUGUCUAAUACUUUAGUCUUCAGAACUUUACAAAUCAACUUGCUUCUUCAUUGCUAGUACACUUCUUUGCAGGGCAAUGAGAAAUACGAAGCAACCUGCAGAGGUAGUUAACCAGAGAACACACAACAAGUACAAUCCAGAAAUUUCUUUCCACGCAGAUCACAAGUUUACUGAUAUUACAAACAUCAAAGGGUGAGAACUUUCUUCCUCUGGAAAAAAAAAAUCCGAAAUACCAUCAAAUUAACAAGGUUAGGUUACUUUAUUCAUUUGUCCAUUACUUUGCAGACUAUCUGGGAGAAAACAUCAUCAUUUGUGUAAAUUAAAACACUUAAUUCAGUUUUUUACUUAUGAAAUUUAAUGUACUCGCCCAAUGCAUUCAAGCAAAAUUCCAACUUCCACCGAGUAUUACAACGCUAAGUAAAUUAAAACAAUACUACGCAGUCUAUUUUAUACAUAGUAUAGAUCACUAUUAUUUUAUCCUGGGCAUACAUAUAAUUUAGCUAUCGUCUCCUAGUUAUUAAUAAGUCUGGACUAGUCUCUCUCAGUCAUGGUUGUCAUACAUCUCACUCGAAUUUAAAAUCUUGAAUUCUCUUUAAUUUACUUCUCAAAGUGUACCUUUUUUUUUAACUUUUAAAAUGGGAUCAAUAAUGUUCCCAUCAUACCUGUUUUAAUAACUCGAACCCGUGAUUUAUUAGAUAUAGGUGGAGCGUCUUAUUUUCUUAUGCUAUAUUGCCAGAAAAACUCACACACCGCAGCUAUAUCAGGGAGGAAGUUGAUCUUUGGAAGAGUAUAAACUUUUUGAUCCCAGCCAAACUCAAAUGCGUAUGCUGAGCGUACUCUUCCGAGCCCCCUUCCACCCCAUCAAAUCUGUUUCCUUCCAAGUUAGCCUUUUGAUGCAUCCCACAUUAACUUUCAAUAUAUCCAUUGCAGUCAAGACAAGCUAAACUCCUAUUUUUAAACAGUUUGGACUGGAUCAUACGAGAAAAAAGCUUCUUUAACAAAUAAUUAAGAAAAAGUAAACCUACAAAAAUGAAAUGUAGUAUUUUGAAAAAAGUGCUUUGGUUAAAUCUCCCUCAGUUGAUCUUCUAGUUCAUAUUAGAGUUUCGACUCAAUCAUUAAUUUCGAUUUGGGUAAAAGUUAUGUGAAUUUUAAAUUCUAACCAUUGAAUUUUGAAUAUGUGACGUGUCUGUGACUUUUUAUUCCUAGUAAAAAAUAUGGCUUGAAAGGAACCAAAAAAAAAGCGCUUCUUGAAUUUGUGAGGAAAUAAAAUAUGAAUUAAUCUUAUAUAUACUGACAGUGUGUACACUUUUACCUUUAAAUUUAUACCAUUUAAUCAUAAUUUGAAUUUAAAUAUUAUUUUUUAUAUAUGUGAUAUGCAUUCAAGGGUGAUAGUAUAUACACCGUUAAUAUAUAUAUAUAUAUAUAUAUAUAUAUAUAUAUAUAUAUAUAUACAAACUUGGUCUUGUUUCUCAGGUGAAUAUUUACUAGUCAAUAGUAUCCCUUGCUAAUUUAAUUACACGAACAAUUUCGUCUGUCUGACUCAUGAAAUUAGCAACGACAAUAUACAAAAUGAUAAUCGCGAAACUUGAAUUACAAAAGUAACGUCGCCGUUUUUGUCAAACCAGUAUUGCUUGCCGAAUCUCCCAAUGAACUUGUCUCAUACUUUCUUAAAAGUAAUCCAUAAUUGUGUAUCAGCCCGUCGAUGUGAAAUUUGGAUGUGACCAGGUGAAAUUAAUCCGUGCGUAAAAAUUAAAUCUGUAGUGCUUCAUUGGAAUCCAGUUCUAGAUGACCUUGACAUUGUUAUUGUUGAGAAUAAAUUUUCAAGGUAAUCUACAUGUUAAGAAAACACUGAGAAACUAACACGGCGCAUUCAUUUGAUUAAUUACUAGUGUUAAGGGCACACUUAUAGUUUAGAUUUUUCACAUCAAUACAAUUUAUGUAAAUUUAUUAAGAAUUUUGAUUUAUAUGGUUAUAGUAAUUUGGUAGUUACAAUACUUAAUGUGGUUAUGAGUUUUAUCCAAAAUAUAUAUAUAUAUAUAUAGAGAGAGAGAGAGAGAGAGAGAGAGAGAGAGAGAGAGAGAGAGAGUAGGGGGCGAUAGCUAUGAGUGCUGGCAAAAUGAUUUAUGUAAUUAAGAUAAAAAUUAGUUUUCAUAAGAAUAAAAUUGGAAGUUCAAAAAAUAAUAAAAUGAGCUUACAUAUUGGUGUAGCAUAAUUUUUCGUCUCUAUUAAUAUUUUUGGACAAACUUAGAUAUUGAUCGUUAGUGGAGCAAAAUAAAGCACCUCUACUCUAAUAUUUGAAUUUGUUAAUGUCUACCUAAUAUCUUUGAACAUAAGAAAAUGUAUAGUUUAUGUGUACGCUUUAAUGUGGACACAGAGAUACAAAUGUCAUUAUGUAAUUAGAAUUAAAGUUUGCAAAAGUUAGUCAUUUGAAGUCAUGUAAAAUAAUUGAAAAAUAAAGUUUGUUUUCAAACUAAUAUAGUAUUAGGACAUAUAAAAAUUAUUAGACAUAUUAAGUUAGUUUAGAUUGUCAAGGUGAUUUUUUUUUUUUCAAUUCCCAAUCAAAAGAUUAGUAUUAGAUUAUCAAAUAAUAGUUGAUACUCAAUUAAAUAGACUAAGAAACUCAAGUGAUACUCAAUAGAUUCCACUCAUUAAUUGAUUGUUUUGACUAUCACACUUUAAAAAUAUUUUUGGCACGAGUAUCACCGGAAUAAAUACUUCAACAUGCAACUCACGUACCCCUAUACUAGUAUUAAUGCAAUGAAUGACAUUAGUGGAGUUAUUCGAAAAUGGCACCCAAGAGUUAAGAUUGAUGUUUAAACUUUUGAAAAAUGGUAGAUGUAGUGACAUCAAGAUGUAAGCCAUGGAUGUGAAGGAAAAGGAUAUAUUAGCUGUUUUUUUGGAGUGUUUUUGAAAUAUUUUAUUGUAGCAGUGUAUAUGAAAAAAAUUUACUAUAAAUUUUUUUGAAAUUUUUGAUAUACUAAUAUGGAUGGAAUGUUUUUUGAGUUAUUGUAUAUUACUGUAAUAUUUAUAUUUGAAAAACUUGUUUGUUGAAAAAAUAGUCAAUCCAAACGGAGUCAUAAAUUUGCUGCCGACAAAAUAUCUUGCUUUGGCUUCCGUUAUUGAGAUGUAAAUAGUACGAGUGAUUCCCGAAAGCAUGGUAUAAGUUGUAAGAAUACUUUCCCCUUGAGCAACAUAUAGAUGUUUUUGCCAAAAUAACUCCUUGUCCUCGGAGGAAGCCUAUCAUAUUAAUUUGUUUCUUUAGCGAGCUGAAAAGACGACCAAGAGGAAGCUAAUGCCGCUGUUGAUGAGAACUAUGUUGUUGGACACACUCUCAGAACGACGGGUAAACUCACUCGAUUAGAUUAGAUACACUCAGACUAAACGAUUCUGAAAGUAAUUUAAGAGAGACCCAUGAAAAAUUCACGUCCAGUCAAUUAAUGACAGGAGUUGGACAAUACGUGAGAAACUCUACCAGCAAUUUUUGGAUUAGGGGUAGGAGCGGUCAUCAGACUGACCGCUCUUGAACGGUCUCCUCACAAGACCCAAAUGUGAGGCGAGAAAUAUUCCACGUCAGGAAGCCUUCAACAGGCCCCAAAAAAGACGGCGUUCCAAAAAAAAAAUGUUUAGCCAAAACAGGAACAUGACGGACCAAACGGAAGAGUUUCAAUUUUGAAAAUCAAGUUGAAAAUUUGAAUCAGCCGCACAAAACAAAACUGAGAGAAGAGAGGAGGUAUCCUGCUGAAGGUAGCAAUUAACAGAAAAGUGGGUGGAGAGAGCUGGGGUAUGGUGUUGAGUGAAUAAGGAAGAAAGCAAACAAAAAAGUGGAGAGCCGCACAAAACAAAACUGAGUGAAGAGAGGAGGUGUCCUGCUGAAGGUAGCAAUUGACAGAAAAGUGGGUGGAGAGAGCUGGGAUAUGGUGUUGAGUGCAUAAGCAAGAAAGCAAACAAUGCAGUGAGAGUGUUGUAUGCAUUUUGAAGCUAGGUAUGAGAGUGUUAUAUCCAUUUUGAAUGCAUGCAAGGCUGGCGGCAAGGUAGAAGCAAACAGAGGAAAUUAAUCAUCUCACGAAGCCAGAUUUUGUCGUGUAACUUAAUAGCAGAAGCAAUUGCGCUCUCCGAAUUCGGUGAAACAUAAAGCGUAUGGUGAAGACCAAGGUAAUGUUAUUGAAUACAGUGUGUUAAAUGAGUAAUAUGUAGUUGGUCUAUGCUCAUCAUGCAAUCUUAGUUUGCCCCUCUCCUGACCAUGCAGUGUGUAUAAAAUGGAGGCGUAGAGUUCAUUGAGGUGAAGGAGAGAAAAAGACAUAUAUGUGAAUAAUAAAAGGGUGUACUUGGUGUUGUAAGUUAAUUACAUGAUGUAAGAAAUAUAUUACAAUGAGUAGAAAAUGUUUGUUUGGCCCUCAAAAUGUAGAAAUAGUAGAAAAUGCGCAAUUGCCUUAGGCGCUUGUCAUUAACGAAUGACAUAAGAUCCAGUGAGCUAAAGAACCUAGAACCUAAAUAUAAUCAGUAGAGUGGAUGUACAUACAUUUAAAAUAGACUUAUAUCGUGUGACCAACACAUUACAAUCCAUAUAACUUAGUGUACAUGGAGUUCUAUUAGUACAUAGAUAAUGCCAUUGUCUUAGAAUAAAAGUAAGGUGAUGUGAUUCAUUAAUCGUAUUGAUAAGCGUAAUAAUAGAAUUUGGUAUACGAGUAAUGUGUGAUUCAUAACACAUUAUGAAUGGUAAUAUACAUUUAUCUUGUCGUUUAUGUACAUACAAUUCAUGAGUGUUACAAAUUAUGGUGUUUGAUGCAUAAUUGGUAGGAGCAGAAAUAAUGAAUUGCAGCAAAUUGACAGAAAAUAGGAUCCCUGAGUUAGGAAUGAAGUUUAACAGUGAAGAGGAUGCGUACAAGUUUUACAACAAAUAUGCCUUUAAAAUGGGUUUUAGUAUACGCAAAGACUAUCUGAAUAAAGACAAAAAUGGCGUGACCACGUCUAGAAGAUAUAGUUGCUGCAAGGAAGGUGUGAAGCGCAAGUAUGAAGGUGAUGUGAUGCCAAAGAGGACACGAGCGCCGACGAAGAUGAUCUGAAUGUGGAGGAACGUGAUAAGAUUCAAUUUGUAAAUGAAAUGGCAGAGGCAGUAAUCGCAAGAGGAUUUAUAAAACGUACCAGUGGGAAGAGAAGUAAAGUGAUGCGAAGUUGGGUCGAUAAAUUUGACAGAUUAAAAAGAAAAUCUAGAUUGUCAAGAACUACACAGACUACGGUAAGGAUCCAAUAACUAUGAUGGUAAAUAUUUAUGCUACAACAAUGUUAUCGUAAUUCCUUAUCUACAAUCCAUAAGUACCAUUCACUAUAAAAUAAUAUUAUUGUCGUGUCAAUAACAUAGGUCUCAGAAUCGGAGCCGACAUCGGUUUCAUUUGAUGAACACAUGUUUAUGGGAUACCGUUCAUCAACUGACUCAAUUUCGGUUAGUAUAAAAUGAGCAUGGCUUUAACUUUUAUUUGGAUGUUUCUUACAGCACAAUUAGUUAUGAUGAUGUUUCAUUGUGUGAUGAUUUUGUUACGGCUAACAUCCCUCCUGAUAUACCUUUUUGUCUGUUUUAUAUAAUUAUUUGGCCCAUACAAAACUCGUAGACGCAUUCAAUGAACUAGUCAGUGAAUGACCCUCCAAAUACUGUUACUCCCGAAAUCAAGGAAAGUCCAACGGUAUGCAUACAUUUAGUAGAUAAAAUAAGGUCCUUUUUUCGUAUCGUAGAGCUACUUUUUCUUUAAUUGUAAUGGUGGGCACCCAAACGCUGUCGAAACAUGCAUAUUUUGUAGUUAACAUAUAAUGCUUUAUGACAUAUUGUUUUGUAUUAUCCGAAAGCCCACCGAUUGGCUAAUCAGGGGUCUCAUGGAAGUGUCCCUACAGAAUGGAUGCAUCCCAAAUUUUCUAUAUUUUUCAAGUAUAACUCCGUCAGAGAUAUCUUAAUAGUUUGAAAUAUCAUUUCUUUUAUAGUGUCUAAUCCAAUUUAGCUUUGGAACUGAGCAAUAUAGGCAUUGCUAAUGAGUUGUUGACAAUUGAAUAAUUAUAUUGUACAACGUAGGCGGAGCGUGCAACAAUUUCAACACACUAUAAUAAGGAUGCAUAUCAUGUAUUUUCACCAUCACUCCAGGUGACAAGCUCUUAUCAUUACCCCAUAUAUAUAUGGUGUCUUGUUAAUUGGAUACUUUGACAGCGUAUAUCAUUAACCGUAUGUAUUAUUAACUGUAUUGACUGAUUUGUCAUCGUUAUGUAAUUCAGGAAAGAAAUAACACCUUGGGAUUGCGACUAACUAUUGACAUCAACUCCCCUCAGUUGCAGGUUCAUGAAUGAUGUGUACCUACAAUUUUUAUGAAUACAAAACAAUUGGUUGUUCCAAACAAUUGAAUUCGUUGCUCUCCGUCCCCAAGUUCACCUCAUUUACUGAUGUUUGUACUUGUCCAGAAAAGAUAUUGCUCAAUUUCGAUCAGUUCCGUAUUGUAAGCUUGUUUUAAUGUACAAUAUCUCAAUGAAUUAUGCUUGUUGAUUGUAAUUCUAAAAUUACUUCAAACAUUAGGUGUCUAGCACCAGAUUUGCAGUGUCUAGCACCAGAUUUUUCAGACAUUAGGUGUCUAGCACCAGAUUUUUCAGACAUGAAGGUGUAUAGCACCAGAUUUGUGGUGUUCGUGGACGAACAUUUACUAAAUGCAGCCAUGUCGUCCCUACCAGGGGAUGCCGCAUAUGUACGUUACAAGAAAUUAAUAAACUGUUACAACUUAUUGAUGUGCUUGUACAGGCACCUUGUCGUGUUUGUCUAUGUUAAAACUUAGACAUGUGGCUUAUAAUUGUGUUAAUGAUGAGUAUUACAGAUAGUAUUACAGACACUUCAAUAGGUAUUACUCCUUUAGCACGGAAAUGAAGUUACAAUUGGCGUCUCGGAUUGGUUCCACACGACCACAUGCCAAGUAACAGUUUCGCAGAAAAACAUGAUAUUUCGUUGGGACAACUAAUUUGAAAAUGGGGUAACUAAUAUUUAAAAUGCAACAAAUAGUCAUAACGAGGUGUACAGAUUGAGUUACAACGAGUUAGGUGUAUGUUACAAUUCAUUACAACUAAUGAAUUGGCAAUCGUCAGCUUUUCGUCUUCUCUAAUUAAAACUAGUGAUUUUACAACUAAUAAUAUUCCCCGAUGUUACAACUAGUGAUACUACAGUUAGUUAACGUCCGAUGAACAUUUCCUCUUCUCUUACUUGUGCAAUUGCCCUUGGCACAAACAAUAAUUUCUCCUCUCGACACAUUAAAUUUCUUAUACACUUUAUUAAGUGUCUAAUGAGAAUAUAGAGAUGAUCAUUUUGAACCCUACAACAUUGCAUGUAGCGAGGCCUUCUCGAACAUCUCAUUAAAAUAGCAAGAUUUUCCCGAACAUCAAGCAAAUCUGGAUGCGUUUAAUUGGCUCCCAAGACUUGGUUUAAAACUGAACACUGUAUUGAUGAGACUGUAAUCCCUGUUGUAGGGAGGUUGAAGAUAACAAAAAAUGAAUCGAGUACACAGAUCCAUUGCCACUUUAAUAUGAAGAGAAAUUGGAAGUGUGAAAUUGAAUAAUAAUACGGGCGAAAAUAAAAAAGGGACGAACAAACUGGAGUCUUGUCUGUGUAAGGGAUAUACACCUGCAAGGGGGUCCUUUUAUAGUCCGCAAUACCCUCUAAUAUGGUAAAAAAUCAGACCCCAACAUAUAUGAGACCAACUAGUAUAUCACGGGAAUGGAAUCUGUUUACUCACAUGCAGCGCAUGGACCAUACAAUCUUGUUAAGCUCAAUAAACUUAAUAUUUGGAAGUAGCAAGGUGAUUAUGUUACAAGGCUCCGAUGUUACAAUCUCGAAUGCAGUUAUAUUUUUAUCAUACAGGCUUACUAUCACAUGUGCUGGUAGAAUGUACUCGGCUGACUGCAGAACGGUGCUCUUCUUUGUUGCACGUGUAGACUUGUGCUUUAUCUCAAUGUCAAGGCCUCCUAAAAAGCGAAGAACAUGUAUUUCAUAUGAUUUCAUAUCUAUUGUUGUGUAACAAAUUGUAAACCAAUUUGUAACAGUUUUCAAACACACUGUUAUUAACAGUCUUCAAACACCACUGUAUUAAUUUUCAAACACACUUUAACAUUCCAUUAACUAUUUUGUAACAGUUUUCAAAUACACUGUAACUUACAAAUAACUAUUUUGUAACAUUCUUCAAAUACACUGUAACUAACAGUAACAAUAACAGUUCUGUAUUAAUUUUUAAACACUGUAACACUACAAUAACUAUUUUGUAAUACUCUUCAAACAUAUUGUAACUUUUCAAUAACUAUUUUGUAACACUCUUCAAACACACUGUUGCUUCCUUGCUCAGUUGUUGUCAUAGUGGUCCUUUGUUGCAAUCCCUGACUGAUGUUAUUAGGCACGACUGAUGAGGUAUAAAUUGGAUUCUCCAUGUCCAUUACAUCUUCAUUUAGCUCUGGGAGUUCUCUGACUUCAAUAUUUGUCCUCGUAAUUGCAUCGUUUUCUUCAUACUGCGCUGCAUUAUGCUUAUCUUCUUCAGACCCUUCCGCAUCAAUUUCAUCAGCAUCAUCAUCUUCAUCGUUGCCUCCUUUUUCAGCAGAUUGAAAUUCUAGCUCUUCUUCGGUAUCAGGACUCGUGUGCAUUGUAUAGUCCUCCUGUAUAGAUUUUUUUCCUUUGUCCAAUGCUUCAGGUCCAGAAGUGGAAGCUUUUGCUCUCGGAUGAGAACAUAGCAUUUCUGUAAUCUUUAAUAUCCUUCAUUGGUUAUUAACAGCAAUGUUAUACAGCUCGUUUAGCUCAGCCUGCAGUUACAUCACGACAUUACCAAUCCAUAAAUAAGCCACAUGCUCUCAAGAAUGAAAACAAUACAUGUAUAUACUGUAAAACUACAUCUUAGUGACAGUUCUUAAUUUAACAUUUGUACUACUGGCAUAGGUUCUAUAACGGUAAGUUCUAUGGCAAUAAAUAAAAUGGUCACAACGAAGAUUGAAUUUUCAUUGGCAACUAUCAAACAUGAUGUCCAACCACAACAAUUACUGUAUUAGUAAUCUUCUUUUCACAAUUUGUUUGCCACCGUGCAAAGUUUCUUGUUAAUUAUGCCUAAUUUAGUCAUAUCAUAAUCUAUUCUCCUACCUGUCAUGAUCGAUGCAAUCAAUUUCUCCUUUAUUUAUCACGGUAUUCAACAAUACGAAUGAAGUAACAAAUCCGUGGAACAAUUUCAAUGUAUGUUCAGCCAAUUUUACGCAACACUUUUACUACUGUUAUUACUGAAUCACUGUGUGUAACAAUUAUCCAACAUGAUGUGCACCCACAAUAACUAACAAGAUUCAUAACCGUUUUCCCACACUGAGUAUGUCAAACUUCACAAUUUGUUAUUUCUUCUGCCACACAUUGUCAAAUUAUAACCUACUCUCCUACUUAUUUAGUUCCAUGCAAUAAACUUGUCUAUCUAAGCACUGUGCUAGUACACAAUUCCAGUGGAGUGACAAUCACAUUCUUGCAAUUUCAUCAUUUGUUGGGGCAAUUUUACACGCCAUUCUGAAGGUGUCACUAGUGACUCAUUGCAUAAAUGAUUUGUCCAAUAUGAUGUGCAAACACAAUACUUAUCAAGACUUAUAAACUUGUUUCCACAUUGAGUAUACCAAACUGUACAGUUUGGCAUACUUUCUACCUGCUACUGUCAAAUUAUAAUAUUCUCUCAUACUUAGCGCAUUAUAAUCUUCUCUCCUACAGCACCCUUAAAUGAAAUAUCUUGUAACCAUUUCACUUCACUUUGUAUGUUUCUGUCAACAGUAUGUACCAUCUUAGAAGCCCAUAUCAUGUUUAAUCUCCACUCAACCACUGUUAUGUAACAAAACCUAACUUCAUGCACAAUAACCAUAACAAUCCCCAACCCAUGCACGCAAUUUUGCAAGCAUUUGGUAUGCAAAAUUUUCAGUACCUUUCUUUCCCCGUGUUGGUAAUUAUAAUAUCUAUUAUGUGCAACCGAAGGUUCCAGUGUAUUAUCCAUUUUCCAAUGUAUUAAACAAUUACUUCAACCAAAACUGCAGCAAGUAUAAUCAGCCCAUUUGUUCACAACAAUGUAUACAGCAAAAGAUAACUACAAAUCAAAUCGAUACACAAUUUAUCUGAUACAAUUGAUGUUUUCUUACCUGUGUUUCUUCUGCUUUAUCUCUUCUCCGGAUCUCCCAACCUUGUACUCCAUAAUUCCCGUUCACCUUCUCAAGCCUUUUGAUAUUUGAGUACCAAUCCUAAACUCUCUCCUUCUGCCACUACUUAUUGCUUCUUCUCACCGUGAUUUUCCUUUGCAGCCACUCUAUUUCUACUACUUCUUGCUAUCCUUUGUAUACUACCUGGCAAUUUCCAAUUCUACAAUGUUAUUUUGCCUUUGCUUUUCUUUCUUGCUCUGUUUUGUAGAAUUUUGCAUUAAUGAAUAUGGGCAAUUAUUUUGGAGGGAGCGCGGCUUAGCUUUUCAUUUGGAGGAUUCAUUUGGGCGGUAACGGACCAACACUUCAUGAAACAGUCCGUCAACUCUUUUUCUUUUUGUUUUUCCCGUUUCUCCUCAAUACAGUGUCGUUCUAACCCUAUUGAAGCCUUCUUGACAUGGCUUAUUAUGGUCCAUUUGUUGGGCCUUGUGAGGAAACCGUUCAGGAGCGGUCACCAGGCCCUGGUGACCGCUCACCCUGGUGACCGCUCCUGCCCUGUAUCCGCAAUUUUUAGUUUCAGAUAUGUGUCUUAUCGCAUGAUGAUGGCGAUCUAAAUCGAAUCUACGUAAAUUUGCUUUAGAAAAAAAAAAAGGGGCAGAUGAGACUGACACUGGACCCAUUUGAGAACUUUCAUGACAUUUCUUUGCAAUUAUUUUAGUAGUGCCCGACAACUUUAGGACCAUUAUUGGUUGCCACGUGAAAUAAUAUUUGAUUGAGAUAUGUGAUUCCUCUGUUUUCCGGUGCAUGAGCUGUGCGAAAAUUGAACGUUUAACAAACACCAAAACGAUUGAGCUGACAAAAAGUUUUUUGCAAUUGACCGAAUUGUAAACAGCCCAAACGUUUCAAAAUUUUAAUGAUUAAAGGGAGCCCUUUUUGAAUUAUCAAGGAAAAAAAGGGAGCCCUUUUCGAUUGGUUAGACAGCCGCAGGAAUGCUGAAUCGUGUAUUUUUCAAAAUAUGAUUACAAGUAACCCAUAAUAAUAUUAUCACUGCAUAUGGAUUUCCAUUGAACAGCAUUACAAUCAACAGCCACCAAAAUUAUCAGAAUAAAUAUUAAUAAUUAAUUCCAUGGUAAUCGAAUCUAAUCUUAAAUAAGGGUACGCUACUUACUACUAGUUAUCAUAAAGGGGUCAUAAACUGAAAUUAUGAAAAUCAAAAUUAUAGAUAACGUAGGCAUUGACAAACUUCAUCCAAAAACAUAGGAGUGAAAUUGGAGAUUGUGGUGCUUACCAAUUUUACUUAAAGCGGUUGAAGAUUAUGGCUCUCAAUGUGAAAAACUGUUGUUUGAUGGCAAGGCAACAAACAUGAAAAUCAAUAGAGUCCGAAGCAUUAAAACUUCUAUUUGUUAUAAAACACCGUACGUGAAAUUGAAUUGCAAUAGUUUAUACAAAUUAUUGUGUUUGGAAAGCAAAUUUUUCAAUAAAUAUUAUUUUACUAGUAUCACAAUUAUAAUUUUUAAUUAAUUUUUUUAUCUUUUCAACAAAUAUUUUUUUUAUCUUACAUAUAUGAUACCAUCAGAAGUGCCACAAUAAUUAUUUCAAAUAAUAUUUCAAGUAUUAUUUUAAUAUUAUUCAAAUAAUCUGGCAAUCAUAAAUAUUAUUCAAGUGCUAGUUUAAUAUUAUUAAGUACUAGUUAAUCAUUGCUUAGCUUGAACCAAUGCAUGCUUGAUAUAUUAUUAGUUUCACUCCCUAACUGGCCCUACUUUUGCAGGUUUCAAUUUCUCAAAAAUUAUAAGUAAAUUUGGAGCUCUCUAUUGGCCCUACUUUUCUAGCUUUCAAUUUCUAAAAAGUUAUAAUUGAAUAAAAUUUAAAAAAUGAAAAAGUUCAAAAAAAGUUAUUUUAAUGAGAACCCACUAAACCAAUAUUGCAGGAAUUUUAAGACAGUAAAACUAAAGGAGGGGAGCAAAAAUUUGAAGAAAUUGUAAGACUUAUGUUGUGUUUGGAAUGUGUGCUUUUUUCAAAAAAAAAAUUAUCAUCUUUUAUGAAUAUAUUUUUCCAUCACUUUUUUAUCUUACAUUUAUCAAAUCAUUAUCAUAUAUUUUUACAAAAAAAAAAUAUCAUUAUCAUAUCUUGUAUGAAUACAUUUUUUCAUCACUUUUUCAUCUUACAUUUAUCAAAUCAUUAUCAUAUACUUUCACAAAAAAAAAAUCUAAAAAAAUAGGAAUAUAAGCGGAUCAAAGAAAAUCCUCCUGUGCUUGAGAAAAACAUAAAUAAAAAUAGGGACAAUAUAUGAAAUCCUCGAACACACAAGGAAAGAAAACAUGAUGACAAAUUAGAAAUUAAUUAACCGGGAGAGAAUCAAUUAAAUAGUUAAAAAUAUUGAAAACAAAAAUUUGAUUGUGGGCGUUUGCAAGCACCUUUUGAAUCAGAGGAGAGUCGAGUGGAGGAAGGGUCCUUGGAUGAAGACUACGGUUAGUAUGGAUGGGGACCAGAGAUGAUGCAUUGAUGCUUCGAGCAAAACGAUUAGGAUGGUGGUCAAAAGACGUGGCGGAUGUGAUUGAGAAACAGAUUAGCAUUCAAGGUGCCACUGGUCCAUUACGCCACUAACACUCUUUAUCCAUGAAAAACAUCAAAGUUUUUCAUGUCUAUCAUGUCUAUUGUUACUCUUUAUAACCCAACUGACACUGUUUAUACAGUUCUAAUGGUAAGAGCGAAACAGUUGGACUAAUGGCUAACGCAUGUGCAGUGGGGUCUUUUUUUACUUUCUGGACAGUAGAAAUCAAUGUACAGAAAAGAAGAGAGCACUUGUGUUUGAGCCUUGAGGUUCUGCAGAUCUUUCUUAUCUCCUUUCAUAUUUGAGAACAGUUUCAUCUCUUAAAUUGAGAUCGAUACAUUCUGGUUCCCUUGUUAAUCUUCCUUUUAGUAGAUGGCCUCCACUAGUGUCACUUGUAUUUCUUCCAUCCUGGAUGAUCUGCAAGCGCUGGAGAACGAUUGUCAAUUUUUUGCAAAUGGGCCGCCGAAGUACCUGAAACGCAUGCUAAGCUAUCUGAGAACAUUUCUUCUGUGUGCGAGAAAAUACAGCAACCAUGAUGUGCAAUUACCAUUUGACAACAAAAAGAACCAGGCAGAUAAUCAUAAAGCAAGCCUAGAAGCUCUGGCAGUUCGGAUUGGAGAUGCCAUUCCCAAGAGGGGAAAAAAGAUCCGAUGGGAUGUGGUCUAUGAUUUAGAAAAAGACAUUAAAUCCUUCGAACAAGAAAUUUGCGAAUGGUAUGUCUUUUUCUUGGGUUCCUCGUCACAGCAGUCCAGUAAUUCGCUCGUUCGACAAGAUGACCUUAUGGAAUUUAUGGAUUCUCUAGUGAAUUAUCUUCCAAGGAGUCGGCCGGCAUAUGAAGUUGGACUAAUUAAAGCCCUUGAAGAGAAGCUGGCAUUCCUGAAAAACUUCAUCCGUUUUGUCACACUGCAUGGUGUUGAAAACACAGAAUUGAGACCUUUGUUAGUUCACACUGAAGCUGUGGCUGUCAAUGCAGCACACCUCUCUUAUAAGUGCCAGUUUAAGAAGGGUUUCGGACCGCCCAAGGAUAUCAAGGAAAGCAUUUCGGAACUGCUGCAGAAGAUUAUUCCUGUUGAACCGCAAGUCCUUGGGACUUGUAUCCAGGCCCUGAGUGCUUCGAAAUUAUCAAGACAAUCAUACGGAGAUACAGAUGAGCACAUAUUGAGUGACUUCCACCAUUCUCUCCUGUGUAAUCUUUGGGAUAAACUAAAGCGUGGUUCUUGUGCUGUGAUUUUGCGUCAACUACAAAUGUUUUAUGAGGGGCUAAAUUCCUUGAGAACCAUUUUGAAGGAGAAGCCAAAGGAGUUCGAUGAGAAAGUAAGAGAUCCGACUCGAGUCGUGAAUUGUUAUGGAGGAGAUGUUAUUUCCCCACUCUCUCUGAAUGCAAUCAAAGACGCCAUACAAGCCAAGGAUAUGGAUAUUGUGUGUUCUGAGUUAUUGAAAAUAAUUAAGCUCAUCGAUGCAGUAAUCACAGAGAAGUGUCCAGAAUCAUCAUCGUUCAAUUUUCCUAAGACCAAUGGACUGGGCUUUGUUGAUUCCCUUCUAGAAAAGAUGAUGGAUGUGACAAGUUCUGAGGCUGGUUCGAUUGCUUUGAUCGAUCAUCCAAUUCAAAAAGUCCUGGAAGAACUUGAUUGUUUACGCUCUUUGCUGAGGAAAAUUGUGGAGCUGCACAACGAAGACGAGGACGUCCAGGCAAUUUGGAAUCGUAUUGUUGGGGUGGCAUAUAGGAUAGAGUUUCUUAUUGACUCCUUAAUAACUGGAAAUAUCUUAGAUUCUUCUUCAAUGUCCAUUCAUUCCAUUUUAGAAGAAAUGAACAUCAUUAAAGCUGCGGCCUGGAAGAUUUGUGAUAGCGAAAGACUUGGUGGAAAAGUUAAGGAAGUAACGAAGAGAUUCAAUCACAUGCCACAAGAAGGAAGUAAGCCAAUAGUCAAUGAUGUGGUGGUGGGAUUCGAGGAUGAGACGGCAUCGAUUAUCAAUCAACUCAGAAAUGGAUCACUCCAAGUGAAAAUUGUUUCCAUUGUGGGUAUGCCGGGAUGCGGUAAGACAACUUUGGCUAGAAUAGUGUACAAUGAUUCUUCAGUGAAGUCCCAUUUUUAUGAGCGUGCUUGGUGUACUGUUUCUCAAAUAUAUGACAAGAGAAAUCUGUUGCUUCAAAUUUUGACUUGUAUUGAGUCCAAGCUUCCUGAGUAUGUUUUUAAGAUGGGUGAAGAAGAUCUGGAUGAUUUUAAGAUGGGUGAAGAAGAUCUGGCUCUUAAAGUCAAAAGACGUUUGCUGAAAAACAGAUAUCUCAUUGUUUUGGACGAUUUAUGGGACAUUGAUGCAUGGAACGGAUUGGAAGCCUCAUUCCCUGAUGAUGGAAAUGGAAGUAGAGUUAUCUUGACAAGUCGGCUCCGUGGUGUUGCUCCGCAAGACAAACUCGACCAUGAACCAUAUUCUCUUCGUCAACUCGCUCCUAAUGAGAGCUGGGAUUUGCUAAAAGGGAAGUUAUAUCCUGGACAAGAUUUGGCUCCUCCAGAACUAUGUGAAAUUCGACAGCAAGUCGUGGAAAUGUGUCAAGGACUACCUCUUACGGUUGUCAUUCUUGCCGGAAUUCUCUCAAGGCUGGACCGACAUGAUUGGAAAGAAGCUGUGGAAGGUUUAAGUUCAAGGAAUGUUUCUAGUACGGAACAAUGCACCGCUACAUUAGAGCUGAGUUACAAACAUUUACCUGAUACUUUGAAGGCAUGUUUUCUUUAUUUUGGAGCCUUUCCAGAAGACCAUGAACACAAUACCAAAAGGUUGAUUUCUCUAUGGGUCGCUGAAGGAUUUGUUCAAAAAACUCAGCUCAAGAGAUCAGAGGAUGUGGCAAAUGAUUACCUGAUGGAACUUAUUAGCAGAAGCUUAGUCACAGUUUCCAAACCAAGAUCCAUUGAUGGGGUCAAAGCCUGUCGCAUUCACGAUUUGUUAUAUGAGUUUUGCGUGACAAAAGCCAAAGAAGAAAACUUUUCGCGGCUGGUGCGUAGGGAUGAUAAACUAUCUGAUAUCAAUGUGCCAUUCUACCUACGCCGCUUAUGCAUUGAUUCUAAGGUGGAGCACUUUGACAACUUGAGGUUAUUUUCUCCUGCCAUACGCAGUCUAUUAUUAUUCAGUCACGAUGAAGACAGUAGAAGUAGUUUUGACCUUCGAUUCAUUUUUCACAUCAUCAAACUUGCCAAAGUGUUAGAUUUGAGCCAAAUUAAUCUAGGAAGCACUUUUCCCAGAGAACUAGAACUGCUUGUUCACUUGAGGUACUUGGCAAUUCUAGUUAAUGGUAGGCCCGUCCCCGCAUCAAUAAGUUAUCUCACAAACUUGGAAACAUUGAUUUGGCGAAAUUCUUCUGAUCACGGUUCAAUAAACUUGGGAACUUGGAUUUGGCGAAAUCGUUGUGUUCAUGGUUCAGUUUCAUUGCCAGAUACUAUAUGGAACCUGAAGAAACUAAGGCAUUUAGAACUAAUUGAUGAGGCCGAUAAGAAUUACCAUGUUAGAUUCCCUGACAACAACCUUGAUAACUCUUCACAGUUGUGUGACUUAGAUAUCUUGUCCUGUCUAAGCCUCAAUCCUCGGAAGAACAUCAACAAGCUGUUGAGAAAGUUUCCAAAUAUCCGCAAGCUGAGAAGCUCUCUUAAUCUCGAUCAGGGCUGUGAAUAUCAUGUAGCAAUGGAUUGUCUAAGUCAUUUGGAAUCACUCAGUCUGAGUUGCGUUGUUUACGGCGGUGACCGAUAUCAGUUAGAUUUCCAAUUUCCUUUGACUAUUAAAAAAUUGACCCUGUCUUAUUUUCGCUUGCCAUGGAGCAAAAUGGUAGCAAUUGGAAAUCUACCCAAUCUUGAGGUGCUCAAAUUACUCGACCGAUCAUUUGAGGGGGAAAUAUGGGAAAUGGAAGUAGAGAAGUUCCCUAAAGUUAAGUUCCUGAAAUUAGAUUACCUGUAUAUUGUGAAGUGGACAGCCUCCUCCGAGUAUGAGUACGAGGACCAGUACUAUUUUCCUCGUCUCCAGAAGCUAGUGUUGGAAAGCUGUGAUGCAUUGCAGGAGAUCCCUUCUUGUUUGG
rnacentral:lncRNA from 1 species